rnacentral:rRNA from 1 species
UACGUAGGGACCAAGCGUUGUUCGGAUUUACUGGGCGUAAAGGGCGCGUAGGCGGCUUAACAAGUCACUUGUGAAAUCUCCGGGCUUAACUCGGAACGGCCAAGUGAAACUGUCAAGCUAGAGUGCAGAAGGGGCAAUCGGAAUUCUUGGCGUAGCGGUGAAAUGCGUAGAUAUCAAGAGGAACACCUGAGGUGAAGACGGGUUGCUGGGCUGACACUGACGCUGAGGCGCGAAAGCCAGGGGAGCAAACGGG